UAGGCCAGGAUUUUUUAAUUUGUUGGUUUACGGAUCCGCCGACCCGAUUUUGCCGAUUUCCAAAAUAAAAAUAAAAUCGAAUUUUCAGGCUUUUUUUUUAUUCUCGCCGACCCUAAGAAAUGCAUUAUCCCUGAAAAAUAAUUAAAAUAUCCUUUUUUAUGAAAUAAAAUGCAUUAAUCACUAACAGAAGUGAUGACACUUUCUGUUGUGAAAAAUGAAACUUUCAGUUUACGUUUCUAAAAAUAGACAAAUCAAUUAUUAAUGACCUUGAAAUGUUGUUUGCGCAAAUAAUUUUGCGGAACGAAACCUGUGUUUAAAACCAAUUACACAAUAAGUUCGUUUCCCUUAUUUGUCACCAGUCCGUAAGAUGCAUGUU
rnacentral:lncRNA from 1 species